rnacentral:rRNA from 1 species
AGUGAACGCUGGCGGUAGGCCUAACACAUGCAAGUCGAACGGCAGCACAGUAAGAGCUUGCUCUUACGGGUGGCGAGUGGCGGACGGGUGAGGAAUACAUCGGAAUCUACUUUUUCGUGGGGGAUAACGUAGGGAAACUUACGCUAAUACCGCAUACGACCUACGGGUGAAAGCAGGGGAUCUUCGGACCUUGCGCGAUUGAAUGAGCCGAUGUCGGAUUAGCUAGUUGGCGGGGUAAAGGCCCACCAAGGCGACGAUCCGUAGCUGGUCUGAGGGGAUGAUCAGCCACACUAGAACAAAGACACGAACCAGUCGCAAACAGGAGGCAGCAGUGGAGAGUAGUGGACAAUGGGCGCAAGCCUGAUCCAGCCAUACCGCGUGAGAGAAGAAGGCCUUGUGGUUGUAAAGCCCUUUUGUUGGGAAAAAAAAGCAGCAGAUUAAUACCCCGCUGUUCUGACGGUGCCCAAAGAAUAAGCAAGGGCUAACUUCGUG